rnacentral:rRNA from 1 species
CUACGGGAGGCAGCAGUGGGGAAUAUUGGACAAUGGGCGAAAGCCUGAUCCAGCAAUACCGCGUGUGUGAAGAAGGCCUUCGGGUUGUAAAGCACUUUAAGUUGGGAAGAAAAAACUUUACUUAAUACGUGAAGUCUUGACGGUACCGACAGAAUAAGCACCGGCUAACUCUGUGCCAGCAGCCGCGGUAAUACAGAGGGUGCUAGCGUUAAUCGGGUUUACUGGGCGUAAAGCGUGCGUAGGCGGUUUGAUAAGUCGAUUGUGAAAGCCCUGGGCUCAACCUAGGAAUUGCGGUCGAUACUGUCAGACUAGAAAACGGUAGAGGGAGGUGGAACUCCAGGUGUAGCGGUGAAAUGCGUAGAUAUCUGGAAGAACACCGAUGGCGAAGGCAGCCUCCUGGGCCUGUUUUGACGCUGAGGCACGAAAGCGUGGGUAGCAAACAGGAUUAGAUACCCCAGUAGUCCU